GAUGAACGCUAGCUACAGGCUUAACACAUGCAAGUCGAGGGGCAGCAUGUCGGUUGCUUGCAACCGAUGAUGGCGACCGGCGCACGGGUGAGUAACGCGUAUCCAACCUACCCUUGUCCAUCGGAUAACCCGUCGAAAGGCGGCCUAACACGAUAUGCGGUUCUCAGCAGGCAUCUAACGAGAACGAAAUGUGAAGGAGAAGGAUGGGGAUGCGUCUGAUUAGCUUGUUGGCGGGGUAACGGCCCACCAAGGCGACGAUCAGUAGGGGUUCUGAGAGGAAGGUCCCCCACAUUGGAACUGAGACACGGUCCAAACUCCUACGGGAGGCAGCAGUGAGGAAUAUUGGUCAAUGGACGGGAGUCUGAACCAGCCAAGUAGCGUGCAGGACGACGGCCCUAUGGGUUGUAAACUGCUUUUAUACGGGAAUAAAGUGAUGCCUGCGGGCGUUAUUGCAUGUACCGUACGAAUAAGGACCGGCUAAUUCCGUG
rnacentral:rRNA from 1 species